rnacentral:misc_RNA from 1 species
UCCGACUUGACGUCGGCAGUCUCGUUAGAGUGCCCGGCCGAACCGAUGGCAACUAAGGGCGAGGGUUGCGCUCGUUGCGGGACUUAACCCAACAUCUCACGACACGAGCUGACGACAGCCAUGCACCACCUGUACACGGCCCAAAAGGACCCGACAUCUCUGCCGGAUUUCCGUGUAUGUCAAACCCAGGUAAGGUUCUUCGCGUUGCAUCGAAUUAAUCCGCAUGCUCCGCCGCUUGUGCGGCCCCCCGUCAAUUCCUUUGAGUUUUAGCCUUGCGGCCGUACUCCCCAGGCGGGGCGCUUAAUGCGUUAGCUACGGCACGGAUCCCGUGGAAGGAAACCCACACCUAGCGCCCACCGUUUACGGCGUGGACUAC